GAUGAAGAACGUAGCAAAAUGCGAUAAGUAAUGUGAAUUGCAGAAUUCAGUGAAUCAUCGAAUCUUUGAACGCACAUUGCGCCCGCCAGUAUUCUGGCGGGCAUGCCUGUUCGAGCGUCAUUUCAACCCUCAAGCACAGCUUGGUGUUGGGACUCGCGUUAAUUCGCGUUCCUCAAAUUGAUUGGCGGUCACGUCGAGCUUCCAUAGCGUAGUAGUAAAACCCUCGUUACUGGUAAUCGUCGCGGCCACGCCGUUAAACCCCAACUUCUGAAUGUUGACCUUGGAUCAGGUAGGAAUACCCGCUGAACUUAAGCAUAUCAAUAGCGGAGGA
rnacentral:misc_RNA from 1 species